CAGAAGUCAGGUCGGAUUAAGCCAUAGUACGGGAAAAACUAUGCUACCUGUGAGCCCCGUCCAAGGACGUUAAAAGAAGUCAGGCCACUACAAGUGCCAUAGCUUGAGUAAACUAUGCAGCCUGUAGCUCCACCUGAGAAGGUGUAAAAAAUCUGGGAGGCCACAAACCAUGGAAGCUGUACGCAUGGCGUAGUGGACUAGCGGUUAGAGGAGACCCCUCCCUUACAAAUCGCAGCAACAAUGGGGGCCCAAGGUGAGAUGAAGCUGUAGUCUCACUGAAAGGACUAGAGGUUAGUGGAGACCCCCCCG
rnacentral:lncRNA from 1 species